CGUUCUGUGGCCGAACUGGUGAAGGCUUCGCUACUUACAGGCGAAGAUGCGGGUUCGAGUCCCGCUGGAACGG
rnacentral:tRNA from 1 species